rnacentral:lncRNA from 1 species
GGAGCCGGUGCUGAUUUUGGCUCGUUGCUUCCUGGAGCUGCACACUCGCCAACCACCCAGCUAACAGGUUAGCGGCUGCAGUGAUGACGUGCCAAGUCCAGUCUUUCAGAGGGAAGCGCCAGCUUUAUUCACAGACGUAUGCAUUGGCUGAGGUGGGAAGGUGGCUCUGGAGACUCUCUGGUGUGAUCCCCAUGCUCAAAGGAGGGUCCUCAUAGCUGUGGCCAGCUGGGUCUUGAAUAUCUUCAAGAAUGGAGACUCUACAACCUAUCUGGGCAACUUAUUUUGAUGCUUAA